AUUGAACGCUGGCGGCAGGCCUAACACAUGCAAGUCGAACGAGUGGCGGACGGGUGAGUAAUGGCUGGGAAACUGCCUGAUGGAGGGGGAUAACUACUGGAAACCGUAGCUAAUACCGCAUACCAUCGGAUGUGCCCAGAUGGGAUUAGCUAGUAGGGGGGGUAAAGGCUCACCGAGGCGACGCUUCCUAGCUGGUCUGAGAGGAUGACCAGCCACACUGGAACUUGGACACGGUCCAGCGUCCUACGGGAGGCAGCAGUGGGGAAUAGUGGACAAUGGGCGCAAGCCUGAUGCAGCCAUGCCGCGUGUAUGAAGAAGGCCUUCGGGUUGUAAAGUACUUUCAGCGGGGAGGCGUUACCCGCAGAAGAAGCACCGGCUAACUCCGUGCCAGCAGCCGCGGUAAUAC
rnacentral:rRNA from 1 species